rnacentral:rRNA from 1 species
AUGGAGGACGUGCUCGCAAGCUACAACUGCAAUCCGCACACUCAGAAACUGUUGGAACAGCUGGCAAUCAGACCUGAUCCUAAGAAGCGCUUCACCCUGGCACAGGGCAUCAUCCGUUUCAGAGAACGCAUAUGGCUGGGAGGCAGCACCGAGCUACAACAGAAAAUUAUGGUAGCUUUCCAUGAAAGCCCCAUCGGAGGACACUCUGGGUUCCCAGUGACUUACAAGGGUAUCCGCAGGUUAUUUUCUUGGCCCAAGAUGAAGACCCACAUUGAGCAGUACGUCAAGUGUUGCCAGAUAUGCCAACAAGCCAAAACAGAGAGAGUGGCAUCACUAGGGCUGCUGCAACCUCUUCCUGUUCCACAGGCUUCGUGGGAUAUGAUAACAAUGGACUUCAUCGAUGGAUUGCCACAAUCAGGUCAGCACAACUGCAUCUGGGUUUUAGUCGACCGGAUGACCAAGUUCGCUCAUUUUCUGCCUCUUGCCCACCCAUACACCACUUCUCGAGUGGCUCAACUGUUCAUGCAGCGCAUCUAUCCAAUUCAUGGGUUUUCUCAGGCCAUUGUCUCUGAUUGGGAUCCGGUUUUCAUGAGUCACUUCUGGCAAGAACUCUUUCGUUACGCCGGCACUGAACUUCGUUUGAGCACCGCCAACCACCCUCAAACGGACGGGCAGCCGGAGCGAGUGAACCAAUGCCUUGAAACCUUUCUCCGUUGCUUCACUCACGCUUAUCCCAAGCGAUGGAGUCAUUGGCUUCCUCUUGCUCAAUUCUGGUACAAUUCUUCACCCCAUUCUUCCAUUGGCAUGACUCCCUUCAAGGCCAUGUUUGGGCAUGAAUCCCGACAUCGGGGAAUCACUACAACUACAGCGUGCUCGGUACCGUCACUUCAGUCCUGGUUGGACGAACGCGCCAUCAUUCAGGACCUGCUGCAACAGCACUUGCAGCGUGCUCGGCUCCGCAUGAAGCAACAGACUUACCGUAAGUGUUCUGAGCGUAGUUUGGAAGUGGGGGACAUGGUGUUUCUGAAACUACAACCUUAUGUCCAGACGUCAGUGGCAAAAUGGGCUAAUCACAAGCUUUCGUUCCGGUUCUACGAUCCUUUUCCUGUCAUCAGCAAGAUCAACGAGGUGGCGUAUAAGCUGGAACUGCCCCCGCAAGCCAUGAUCCACCCAGUCUUUCAUGUUUCCAUGCUGCGUCGCGCGGUGCUCCCAGGUACGCCGGUCGAACCAGUACUUCAUGUACUCUCUGAUGUACUAGCGGUGCCUCGAGCCAUCCUCGACACUCGCUGGAAGCGCAAGCAAGGAGCCAUGGUGGAACAGGUCCUGGUGCGCUGGUCGGAUCGAACCAAGAUCGACGACACCUGGGAAGACAAGAAAGAGCUGCAAGCUCGUUUUCCACCGGCUGAGGCUUGGGGUCAAGCCUCUUCUCAAGAAGGAGGGGAUGUCAGGCCCAGUACCACUCCUUGUCCUCCCAUCGUCAAGUAUACGGCCUCGGGCGUGGGCCGGCCAGCAAGGCGAAGGAAGCCCAACCCGCGAAACCAAGGCCCAGAGUGGGUGUGA